rnacentral:rRNA from 1 species
AGUGAAUAGAUACCCUGGUAGUCCACGCCCUAAACGACGUCAACUAGGUGUUGGGUGGGUAAAACCAUUUAGUACCGGAGCUAAACGCGUGAAAGUUGACCGCCUGGGGAGUACGGCCGCAAGGUUAAAACUCAAAGGAAUUGACGGGGACCCGCACAAGCGGUGGAUGAUGUGGAUUAAUUCGAUGCAACGCGAAAAACCUUACCUACCCUUGACAUGUCCAGGAGCCUGAAGAGAUUUGGGUGUGCCCGAAAGGGAACUGGAACACAGGUGCUGCAUGGCUAUCGUCAGCUCGUGUCGUGAGAUGUUGGGUUAAGUCCCGCAACGAGCGCAACCCUUGUCGUUAAUUGCCAUCAUUUGGUUGGGCACUUUAACGAGACUGCCGGUGACAAACCGGAGGAAGGUGGGGAUGACGUCAAGUCCUCAUGGCCCUUAUGGGUAGGGCUUCACACGUCAUACAAUGGUCGGUACAGAGGGUUGCCAAGCCGCGAGGUGGAGCCAAUCCCAGAAAGCCGAUCGUAGUCCGGAUCGCAGGCUGCAACUCGCCUGCGUGAA